AUUGGCUGUGUGAUGAUGGUGUCACUGCUAAGCAACAAAGCGGUGCUGCUGAUCAGGGUUAUGAAGAGGCUCACUGUAGAUCACCACCGCUGAUAUCUGAAGGCCAAGAAUGGAGGUUACAGGCAUUGGCUCCAAAAUGCAUCAGAUGGGUCCAUUUGCAGGUGAUACCACUUUAAAUACAGUAGCUACAUUUCAAAUUCAGACAGAACGGGAGAAAUAUCAAACGUGCACCUCUUGAAGAGACUUACCUCAGAGUGUUCAGAGUGUCGGAGGCUCCAUAAGAACUCCAGCAUUGCCAUAAAAAUCGCUACGAUUAAACCACAGAUCAGAACCACAAAGAUUCCAC